UACAGAGGGUGCGAGCGUUGUUCGGAAUUAUUGGGCGUAAAGGGCGCGUAGGCGGUGCGGUAAGUCACCUGUGAAAUCUCCUGGCUCAACUGGGAGUCUGCAGGCGAAACUGCCGUGCUGGAGUAUGGGAGAGGUGCGUGGAAUUCCUGGUGUAGCGGUGAAAUGCGUUGAGAUCGGAAGGAACGCCCGUGGCGAAAGCGAGGUCCUGGACGCCUACUGACGCUGAGACGCGAAAGCCAGGGGAGCGAACGGG
rnacentral:rRNA from 1 species